CAAUAAAUACUGAUACAGGGCUCUUUUGGGUCUUGUAAUUGGAAUGAGUACAAUUUAAACCUCUUAACGAGGAACAAUUGGAGGGCAAGUCUGGUGCCAGCAGCCGCGGUAAUUCCAGCUCCAAUAGCGUAUAUUAAAGUUGUUGCAGUUAAAAAGCUCGUAGUUGAAACUUGGGUCUGGCUGGCGGGUCCGCCUCACCGCGUGCACUCGUCCGGCCGGGCCUUCCUUCUGAAGAACCUCAUGCCCUUUACUGGGCGUGUUGGGGAAUCAGGACUUUUACUUUGAAAAAAUUAGAGUGUUCAAAGCAGGCCUUUGCUCGAAUACGUUAGCAUGGAAUAAUAAAAUAGGGCGUGCGUUUCUAUUUUGUUGGUUUCUAGAGACGCCGCAAUGAUUAACAGGAACAGUCGGGGGCAUCAGUAUUCAGUUGUCAGAGGUGAAAUUCUUGGAUUUACUGAAGACUAACUACUGCGAAAGCAUUUGCCAAGGAUGUUUUCAUUAAUCAGUGAACGAAAGUUAGGGGAUCGAAGACGAUCAGAUACCGUCGUAGUCUUAACCGUAAACUAUGCCGACUAGGGAUCGGGCGAUGUUCUUUUUCUGACUCGCUCGGCACCUUACGAGAAAUC
rnacentral:rRNA from 1 species